rnacentral:rRNA from 1 species
UACGGAGGGUGCAAGCGUUAAUCGGAAUUACUGGGCGUAAAGGGCGCGUAGGCGGCUUGGCAAGUGGAUGGUGAAAUCCCUCGGCUUAACCGAGGAACUGCCGUCCAAACUGCUUCGCUUGAGACCGGGAGAGGUGAGUGGAAUUCCCAGUGUAGCGGUGAAAUGCGUAGAUAUUGGGAGGAACACCAGUGGCGAAGGCGGCUCACUGGACCGGUACUGACGCUGAGACGCGAAAGCGUGGGGAGCGAACAGG